UACGUAGGGGGCAAGCGUUGUCCGGAUUCAUUGGGCGUAAAGAGCUCGUAGGCGGCUUGUCGCGUCGGAUGUGAAAGCCCGGGGCUUAACUCCGGGUCUGCAUUCGAUACGGGCAGGCUAGAGUUCGGUAGGGGAGAUCGGAAUUCCUGGUGUAGCGGUGGAAUGCGCAGAUAUCAGGAGGAACACCGGUGGCGAAGGCGGAUCUCUGGGCCGAUACUGACGCUGAGGAGCGAAAGCGUGGGGAGCGAACAGG
rnacentral:rRNA from 1 species